AGGUAAAAUUCUGGCACCUAUCCACAGCCUGAACCUUGGAGAACACCUCCCUUUCAUAUGACUUCUGCAAAGGGCGUGUUUCAGCUCACAGGGACAAAGAGUCACUGCACCAGAGAACCAGAAAGAGUUACAGACACGGCUCACAGGCUUAAGCGUCUUGCUGUAGGUCAUACGGCAGGUUAAUGACAACACUGGGGCAAGAACACAGGUUACGCUCGUCCUGGGGAAGGCUCCCACACCAAGCUACACACUUCUGCAAUGCUGUUCCAGAUGUGAAAAUCCGCUAAGACAAAUAGGUCACAAAAACACCAUGGGAAACGAUGAUGUCUUUUCCUUUUUGUUAUCUUGAUAAAGCUUCAUACAUGGGACAAAAGGAGGAACUAGCCCACCAAGCAGGUUUAAAGGGAGUGUCGGACACAAAAAUGACAUGCCCCAUAUUGCAGUCUAGAAGGAACAACACGGUGAAUUGUCUACUGCAGAACACUUCACUCUGUCUCGAUUACUACAUGGUGAAUUGAAGUUCCAGUAGAGAGGGAGUUGAGCUGAUACUGAGGAGAUAAAUACCCAUCACUGUAUACAUCUACUUCUUGGAAUUUGCAAGGGAACCAGUCAACAGAUUUUUCAAGCCUUAUAAGUUUAUCUGCCUGAGAAGUUCACCAGCUACAUAACAUCCUGGACUCUGGAGCCCAAGAGAUGUGUAGUUUCCAUUUUGGAGCCAUUUUCUUUGAUAAAUAAGUAGUGAGGCUGCCAUUCUUGUCAAAGUUGAGGACCACAACCUUACUCAUGAAACUGAAAGAUUGUUUGUUAUGAGGAGUUCUGUUUGAGCCAUACAAGCAAUAUAUCCUUUUUAAAGAAAUGUAUCCGGAAUCUUAGGUGUUCAUUGCUCCAAGCCAUGUGCAGAAUAAAAAGAAAACAAAAAACAA
rnacentral:lncRNA from 10 species